UAAAGCCUGGCUGUUCAUAACACUGGAAUGUCAUAAGGAAGUCUCUUAUGAGAGGUCACAUUUUUUUCUCAGCUGAAACAUGGUCAUGUGUCUACCUGAUAAUGACUGUAAUCCCCAUAGCAACAAAGAUCUACCAAAAGGACACUCAUUUUAAAUAACCAGAUCACUUUGGCAGUUGCUUGUGUAACAAGAGGAAAAAAAGGACCAGGGUUGCAGCAAGGAUCCAUUGAUUGGAAGAUGCUUCUCCUUUAGGGACCAAAUACAACAGAAAACCUAACAACAGACUUGGAUAAACCAGGCUCCUUCGGUUUAUUUGGGAGAUUAAGUGGUGAUAUUCAGGCCAAGGAAGAAUAUCUGGGAGAAACUGGAAUUGUACUUAUUUUAACUAUGAAGUUGGUGAAUGCAUUAGAUGCUCAUUUUCUUUUAAAAGUUAUGUUUACAUGCUGAUAAUUUAAAGUGGAUGUAAAUACUAGUUCUGUCCAUGGGCACAUCCUUCUGCUUUAUAUUAUUUAUGCUGUUCCUGUUGUUUUUCUAAGAUCCCCAUGGGUUAUAUUGCGUUGUACAUUGACUUUGCAUUUCUGCUGUUUAGAACCAUGCAAACUGGAUUUUAAUGCUGCAGAAAACUCAUUUGAUUUGUGUCUUGUAAUUAUUAAUUGUUUUUGUUCAUUAUGAUUUUAGAGCUCAGCAUUGAAUUUUAACCUGACUUUUGUUGUUGUUGUUAUUGUUGUUAAUGUGAAAGCCAUCCAGAUUUAAAGUGUGCAUGUGUGUCUGGAAGGGGAGACUCUCUUCUCUGGUACCGAAGAAAGCAAAAUAUAAAAUACAUUUGCCUUCUGUGUACAAACAAUUAGAACAGACCAGGAAAAGGCUGUGCUCUGCUCCUCACUAUAGGAAGAGGAUGUAUUUUUCAUGUUGUUCCUGUUUUUGUGUGAAAUAUUUGGCAUAGUUACAGCAUGGAUAUUUCUUCAAAUGUUUCUGAUCUUACCUCUAGGAAUCUUCUCUCUUCUUUUAAACAAACCUGGAAGUGGGAUUCUGAUGUCAUGGGAGGGAUCAUGAUGUGAAUGUUGCUGAGAUGCUUAGUUUGAGGAUAUUCUUGUUUUGGGGUUUUGCCCUGAAGUGGUGCCCACGCAGAAGUUACUGUAUCUUUUUUGCUGGCAUCAUAAAUGAUGGGGAAAUAUCCUCUGGCCAAAGCCACCAAAUACACUGAAAUCCAAGUCAACUUCAAUGCUCAGAGUUCUGGAGUGAACAGUUUCUUUGUUCACAGUCAGUGCGGUCUAUGCACAAGUAUAACUUUUGUGAUAAACUUGCACCCCAGGUUGGUUCCUCCAUCACACCAGAACCUCAGAAGGGGCUGUGCUUGUUCUUUCCUUCCUUGCUAGUUCAUAUAGUACCCAUUUUUAAACAUCCGAAAGUGGACAAUGGCAUUCUGAUUUCAAGGACAUAUCCUGAUACAAAGCAAAAGAAAUGAAAGAAGAACGUUUGCCCCUAAAUUGUGACAAGAGCAAACCAUAAUUUCUUCUCUGUUUAUUCCCUUACAUAGGAUCAGUCACUAAUUCAUCAGUUUCCUACUUGUAGAAACUCCUAAGGGAGUACACUCCCUAUUUGGGUUGCAAGCCGAGCCUUUAAAAGACCUUGGUUUGCGUAACAGAACUUCCCAUGAUUGUGUAACCAGGGUUGGUGUUAGGAGAUGGAAAAGCAUAGCAAUUCCCAGCGUCCAGGCUAUUGAAAGAUUCCACUAUGAGUACCAUGAUUGGGACUAGUCGGACACUCCCUUUCUGAGACUCCCAGCGCUGUACUGCUAAUGUAGUCGGGAGCUGUUGAGAAUUAGACCCUUCACCUCCUGUCCUGUGCUAGUCUGGUUACCCAUUGGGAGUACAGCUACAAAAAAGGUCCUAUAGGACAUGUCAGGGGGAAAGAAAAAGUGACAUAAGCCAGUCCCUGGCUGGAACAGUUGGUGAAACCAUGGCUUACAACCUAAUGAUCUUAUAUGCUGGAAUGGAACCUUGAGAUUGUACUUUUGAGAUAGUACUUUUGAUCCUGUGUGUGUAGAACAGUGGUUCCCAACCUUUGAUCCUCCAGGUGUUUUGGAUUUCAGCCCCCACAAUUCCUAACAGCUGGUAAGAUGGCUGGGAUUUCAGGGAGUUGAAGUCCAAAACAUCUGAAGAACCAAAGGUUGGGAACCACUGGUGUAGAACUCCACUCAUGAUGCUUAGGUGGCUGAGAAGUCAAAUUCUUGUGUCGAUGCUGCUCUUUGCAAUGGUAGAUUGCAAAGUGAGAUUCAUUGGAAAAUCAGAUUCCCAAAGAAAGAAAACUCAGUUUAUUGUGUAACCAGUGUUUCUUUUAAAUACUGAAAGAAAAUGUGUCAUUAAAACUUAAAAGAUGUAGGCCAAGAUCCUGCAUGAAGCACAUAGCCACGGUGCCCCCCAAAGCCCACCUUAAAAGCCAGUCAGCUGUCCUGAGUGACAGAGUGCUGUUUGCGAGUAGGGCACUUCUGAGAUGAUCUGAGCAGCCUCUUGCCAGCUGUGAAGACAGAAGCAAGGAGCCCUAUAAGGUCCUGACUUUUUUGCAGUAUUAUUCAUUGGCUGGAAAAAACUGUCAUGUCAUUCUGCAGAGCUCCACUUGUUAGUAGAUCUCUGCUGUUCAGAUGGCUAACGGGCUCCUACGGUGGGUUUCAUCAUUGGUGGUUGUGGCAGUAUUGCAAUGACUGUAAAUGAGUAUAUGAAGCAAUGACAACGUCCUAAGUCCAACUUAGGACAUUGUAUCUGGCUGAGAGAAUGCCAGCCAGUACAGCUUGAAUUGGCUACAUAGUUGGUCAACUUAAAUAUUAAAAUAUUCUUUGAGAAACAGUGGUUGUGUAUUUAAAAGGACUCUUAAGAAGUAAAAGGUCAGAAUUGAUUGUGCACAAUAAUUAUUUGGUUUUUGGCUGGAAGUUGUCCCCCUAACUCUGUUCAGGGAUAACACAGUCUUGCUCAUUUUUAAUCAAAACUUUUAUUAAAUUCAUGCUUAGGAUUCUUUGUACUUUCAAUAUUUUCUCUUAUACUGUGAAGUUUCUACUAUGCAUUAAAAUGCUCAAUGGCUGCCCAGUCAGACACAUGUAACAAGACAGGCUCCUGAUGUGUUUUCUAAUGUUUGUAGUUCAAAAUUAGAAUUAGUUCAAUUUAUCCAACAUUUGGGCAAAAGGUGUUUUUUCUGAUAGAAAGAAGGUACCCUCUCUCAACAUUUGUAAGCUACGAAAUAUUACUUUAAACUCUCCUCAGCAAAGAAAGCACUGGUUGCUUUUAUUCUGUUAUAUAAAUACAUUUCGGAACACAUUAUUCAGCACUACGCUGGGUACAAGGUGAGACAUACUGUUAAAUAGAAAAGGUAAUAGGUCUUUGUGGAGAUAAAAGAUGUGUGCAUCUUAUUUAGUCCUUCAUAUUUGGUCUUUUCCCCCCAAUAUGUUGACUACUUCUGUUACCUGGACCUUUGGGGAAGGGAACCUACCUAGCACAGUAUUUACAUGACAGCAGCUAAUUUAAAAUAGCCUGUUUACCUGUUAAUCCUCAUCUUGCCAUAAAAGUUAAACCUGGAGGAAAACAAGUCCUGUAGUUCUGUCUCCCCCGUGCCUAGUUAUCCCCUUGCCCAAAAAACUGCCGCAACUUGGCUAAAGAAACGAGUGAUGGUCAGUGCUUCCGAAGUCACUAAUUUGCUCCUUUGUUAGUCUGAACCUUAAAAGAAAUCAUCUAAAGGAGCUGUCCAAAAUGCUGACCCUAGUUUGGGGAUGCCUUCCUUUAACACUGAGGGUACAUCACUUAAAUGAUAUCAGAAACAUCUGCCACUGUGGGAGGAAAUGUGUUCUCCAGCUGUAGAACCCAAUCUUCUUUCACCUUCACGAUUCAAUACAAUAGUUGCCAUGACAUAGACGUAAUAGAAGAAAGGAUUUCUAGAACAACUUCCAAUGAAACGUAUCAUUUGGAGUAACACUUCUUGAUAGUGCACUGAGAUUAAUGGAGCAAACCCUACUCCAGAUUCUGUAGAAGGACCUUCACUACCGUAUAAAUCAAGUAGGAAUGGAAUAACUUAAAGAGGAUGGAAGUAUGCUCCAGAAAGGAACACAAGGGACCAACAAUCGAAACCAAUCCAAAUGAAAAGUUAAGAUUUUCUUUUCAAUGUCAUGGUGAAAACUCUUAGGAAUAUUUCUCCUUGUCAACUUCACUACUUGUUAGCUCUGCUUUUACAAAAAUGUUUACAUUCUCAUUGGGAAUUGACUAGUGUUACAUAUGGCUAACACAAGGCAGCCAACCUGGCAAAGUGCACUGUGACCCACUUCUUGAAAAUAUUAGCUGGUCAUUCAGAGGGGAGGGGAAGGGAAGGGGGAUGGGGAAGAGUACUGAGGGGUUAAUGUAUGAAUUGCAUGUAAACUUGUUUUUUUAUAUAAUUUCAUACAUAUAAGUGUCAGAUCAUCUGCAUGGAAGAUGCCGCAGUGCCCUGUCUGAGUUUGUAUGCCUGUGAUUUCUUAUUUUUCUUCUUCUUUAAAUGACUAACUUCCCAGGAAAAUAAUAUCUCUCUUCAUCUAGUUAUUGGAGGCAUUGAAAUAAAAACAACAACAAACACCCCUUGUUCCCUUUGUAUUCUUCUUUGGUUGUUUUUUUAAAAAAAGAUUGUGACUAAUUUGUUAGUGUAUAUAAAUUUAUUGCCAAUGAUUAUUGUUGUUAGACAACGAAUGCAAUAAAAGAAAUAUUGAAAAUCA